AGCCGUUAUGACUCGCGGCCCCGCCCGGCCCUCAGCGGCUCACUGAUGGAGAUGGCGGAGGAAAUGCAAAUAAGCAAACCCCAAAGUUACAGAGAAGCUGGUGGGACAGGACAUGAAGGAAAACAUUUCCAUUCUGGUGGAAACUGUAGGACAGGAAGACUGCUUGUGUGCCUGCAUAACUGUCACAGAAAGAAACAGUACUGCUGAUACCCAUCAGGAACAAGGAAAGAAUCACAGAACCAUUGCAGUUGGAACAGACCUCUAAGAUCAUCUAGUCUGACCAUCAACUCAUCAUCAGAGAUUUGCAUGGCUUAUCCUUCUGGACUCCAAGGUUUGUGGCUUGGUUGUAGAGUUAAAAUUUGCCAAAUAUCACAGCAUACCACAGAUUGGAGGUAGGGCAUCUGCAGAAGAGAAGCUAUGAAGAUCCUGUAUCAGCAACAGUACCACUAACUGUGUGGCCCUGAAACCUUGCAGGGUAGGGAAAGAUGAAGGUCAAACCCUGGUAGCAGUGGGAUAAAAACUGUGUGGAAACGUUCAGCUAUGGAUUGCCUUAUUGCCCAGCUGUUUGUAAAGCAA